AGCCGGGGCGUUAGCGGUGCCCUGUACCAGCAAUCCGCUACAGCUGGGGUGAUAUCCCGCCUCGGACUUCCGGUUCAAAUGCAGCCCUUUGCAGGCGGCGUUGAGGUUUGGGUCUUACGCAACGGAAAUCUGUGAAUCGUGUCAGGUUGGGAACAAAGCAGCACUAAGCAGAACCUUCCGUGUGCCGUGAGGUCGCCUGAGCCGAGCCUAAUGUGGAGAAAGCGGUUUGGAUCGGGGUUCA
rnacentral:SRP_RNA from 1 species